rnacentral:lncRNA from 1 species
UUCAAUCUAGCUCCUAUUUCUCCUUCCUCAUAUCCCUUAGCACUGGUGAAGCAGGCAUCUGGAAUGACUUACUUGCUGCACGAUGGAAUGGAUACUGUGGUUUUCCUUCCACACCAAUCUAAAUAAAUCAGGCCAACCUUGACCUCCUUGACAUAGUGGUCACUUCAGGUUACUCAGACCAGAACCACUUGGCACAUGGCAUUGCCCUGACCAUGGACAUCUGGGGAUUAACUAGCACUACAAGCCCAAGUACCACUCUCUCACAAGCAAGCCAAUACAAGAACCAAGACAUCCUCAACUUCCCUCAACAGUUUCUAAACUUCUGUUCUUGCUUAGUUUCUGAAAUCCUCAUCACUCUUACCUGUUUUCCCUGAAGGUGUCAAAG